UUUCAUUUUAUAAGUUUUAAUUUGUAACAAUGAAUCGUUUUAUAAAGUUUGUGAUUUUGAUUCAGAUGGGAAUAAACAUCGUCAACUCUUACACUGGUAUAGAAUACAUGAACACAAACUGUGGAGAAACCGUUUAUGUAUUUGAUUCUAAAAUCAUCAAACUGCAGCCAUAUAUGAUCGACUACAUGGAUGACGAUUGUGAAGUUACCGUAAAAGUUCUUGGUUCAUCGGAAAUCCAGUUAUCUUUUGUAGAUUUUUACGUUCCGUGUGAUGAGGGAUCAGUGGUAAUCGGCGGAUACAGUUAUGGUCACGUGGAGACAGAAACGUGUAGUCGGACAAAACCUACACAGACUUACAAAUCUUUUGGCGAUUCUUUGACCAUCAAAUUUAAGAAAGAAGAUGACGUUAGCGCCCCAACGGCUCAUUUUCAGAUUCUGGCGACUGAGAUGCACACUGGAUUGUGUGCCAGUUAUGAGUUUGAGUGUAAUAAUUAUAAUUGCAUAGACAAAUACAAUCUAGCAUGUGAUGGUUACGACAACUGCGGGGACAACUCGGAUGAAGUUAAAGGUUGUAUUUUAGAACCCGGCGCUAUAGCUGGGAUAGUUAUAGGAUCAUUGGCGUUCCUGUUUUUGGUUUUCAUCAUAUCAGUCGCCAUAUGUAGAAAGAAGCGAUACGGAUCUGUUUUAUAUACUAACGGGCCAACAGCAGCUGUCCAUGUCAACACGAAUCAGGGGAUCGCUCAGCCUUACUUCAUACAGCCGCCUACAUCAUAUCCCCUCUCCCCUCCUCAGUACACCCAACAACCCCCACAAUAUUCACAGGAAACCCCACAAUACAGCACACAACCAACAGCAUCGUCGACAACACAGUGCCCGCCACCAGCUUAUGAAUUUUCUAGAUUCCCCACAAAAAGCUAAAGAGUCAUAUCAGCAUACGACCGACGUUGCUGGAAAAUUAUCGUGUUUGUAAGGAAAUAUAUUUAGUUGCUUAUAAUUACACCAGAAAAAUGAACUUGUAAAUCUAAUAACUUGCAAAUUAAUGCCAACAUAUGAUGCAAUUAAACAUUAGGAGAUUACAGCCAUCUGUAUUGUUUUAAGAUGGCAAAAAUAUUGGUAUUCAAAUAUUGGAUACUUUAAGAUAAUUGACAUCAUUUGAUCACUUUUUAUUUGUAUAUACUAAUUAGCAACCAUAUUACAUUAAAUUAGAAAUUAACAAAAUAUUGUGAAAAUGAGUUAUUAAACACCAGCCAGCAGUCUUGUGUUGUUAUACGCCCUCACAAUGCACACGUAUAUUGCGAAAUCUUUACAUGACCGGACCAUAGAAAAUAUAUAUUACGCUGAUCUACCCAUUUACAUUCCACCCAAUACACCCUCGUAGACGAAAUAGGCCAUGGGAAAUAUUGACACUUGCCUGAAUAGUUAGUCCGUUGGUGCGUACUGGAGAACACUACCGAAAUUCGUUUGGAUAUCAUAUCCCAAACACAGACAAAUAAGGUUGGGAUUUUAUUAGUUCUCGAUGCGCGGACGACUUAUUCUGUUGGUUACUAUAUAAGGGGUUACACAUUUUAUUUUUAUUUUUAUAAACAUUGUACGGUCUACAAUCACAAAUAUAUAAGGUACAA